UGGCUCAGUGGUAGAGUGCUUGCCUUGCAUGCAGGAGGCCCUGGGUUCGAUUCCUCAG
rfam:Dipodomys ordii contig_57729, whole genome shotgun sequence.